UGAGGGAAUAUUGGGUCAAUGGGGCGAAAGCCUGAACCAGCCAUGCCGCGUGAAGGAAUAAGGCCCUAUGGGUCGUAAACUUCUUUAGACGCAGAGCAAUAAGGGCCACGCGUGGUCCGAUGAGAGUAUGCGUAGAAUAAGCAUCGGCUAACUCCGUGCCAGCAGCCGCGGUAAUACGGGGGAUGCGAGCGUUAUCCGGAUUCAUUGGGUUUAAAGGGUGCGUAGGCGGCUUUGCAAGUCAGCGGUGAAAGGCCCGGGCUCAACCCGGAAAGUGCCGUUGAUACUGUGAGGCUGGAAUGCGGAUGCUGUGGGAGGAAUGAGUGGUGUAGCGGUGAAAUGCAUAGAUAUCACUCAGAACACCGAUUGCGAAGGCAUCUCACAAAUCCG
rnacentral:rRNA from 1 species